AUGCUUAAUAUGCUGUCUUACAGGGUCUUCCAUUUAAGACUGCAGCUGGGCCUAUUAGCUCAGGGUAGGCUUGUCAUUUGGGAGCCUGGUAACCAGGAGAUGCCCUCUGGCCCAACUUCACUCCAUUUGCAAGGCCAGCUCACCUCGAGGUCACAAGAAGACUGCCCAAACUCCUGGACUACAUCCUCCGCUCUGGCUCUUUUGCCCUUGAAUUAUUCAUUCAACUUCAUUCAUCCACAUCUCUGGACAACGGGUAUCAUUGAAAGAACUAGGAAACUUCAUCCUCGCAAGUCUCCAGCAAUGUCUCCUUGAAGCUCAUUGGCCUGAACCAAUGUGUGUGGCCAGAGUAGGCUGAUUCCCAUUACUCUACAUCAUAUACCUCACCUCCUGAGUUGAUCCUCCAUGGCCUGCUCCUACCCAGGGCCUCUAAAAAAGGGAAGGAGAAAUGAUGCUGGGAAUAUUACCCACAAAAGUGGAUGGCAGUAGCUUACAGGAAGAAGGGCUUGCCCCUGUUGAUCAACAGUCCCUCGUCGACUUCCCAGAAACAAUGCCCAUGAUGGCAUAAGAAGGGGGCAGUGAGAGAGUAGGGGGAAGAGAACAAUCAUCAAAUUGUAGGCACAGUCUGUUGGAAUUUAGCAAGAGUUCUCUGGCUAACCCAAAGUGUCUGUGGGUGGAAAGUUAAAAAUCAUGUCCUGACAAGGCUGGCUGAGUCAUCCCCACCCCCAAAGCCUCCUCCCUGCUCCCCAUUGGUGAAGCGUUCUCUUCCACUCCUUUCUGAGAGCCUCAAACUCAGUUUUUAAUUUGUCUUAUGUUUAUCUGAACACUGGCUGGUACCUUCCCGCACAGUGAGGGAUGGCUCCCCCCGCAAAACACUUCCCCUGGUAGACCCCAACCCCCCCCCCUUCGCUACUUGGUCCUCAGUAGCGAAGGGACGGGCAUGCAAACAGAGAGGCUAAUGCUAGAGGACCCACGGCUCUUUUGCCCUUGAGUUAUUCAUUCAACUUCAUUCAUCCACUCAUUUUACAGGUAUUUACUGAGUGCCUACCAUGUACCAGGUGUUAUUCUAUGCACAGGGUCUACAGAGUUCAAUAAAAUUCUCAGAGUCUCCA
rnacentral:lncRNA from 1 species